ACUAAAUAACACUAGUCUUGUUGCAUAUCAGCUGUCAUCUGUCACUUUUCAUUACAGUGGUCCCUAGUUUAUUUUACUAUAUUUUUGAUUCAGGAAAGUGUGGCUGAUGACGGUGAUGAUGAGUCUGAUAGGUCAAAGUCUGAAGUCAAUGAUGAGGAUGAAGAGGAAAGUGGAGAAGUAAGCUUCUUAGAGCUCUUCAAGUGAUUAAGAUUAUGUUGCAUUUUGUGAUAAUAAAUAUUGGAAACUUGUAAUAUAUUUCUUGUGCUUUUAAAUGCAUGUUGAUCACCUAAAUAAACAUUUUCCUGUCUAUUUAAAUUUUUAUAGUGGAUUUACCAUUUUCUAGUAUUAAGGUCUUCAUGCUUCCAAACUCGAUAACUAUGUUAUUAUAUGUCUAGACAACCAAAAUCUGUUGGAGGAAUUUUUAAGCAAGAUUUUCAGAUUUGAAGGACCUCAGUUCAUUGGACGAUGCACUAGUGCUACUUAAACAUAUUUCUUUUGCUUUUGACCAAAACAUAGAUUAUAAAUAGAUUUAAUGAAAUGUGAAGUUGGUUAUAGUUCAUGAGUCAAGCAUAUGGAUUGCCUUGGACGCGACUUAUAUGGAGCAGAUGGGAGGAGAGAGUGUGCGAUGGUGAUGGGCAUGUGUGAUAGGUCAUUUGCUUAGUGGGUAAUUUACUUGGUUGGAAUUCACUUAAUGGAUUAAAAGGGGUCUGUGUUCGUAAUUGUUGUGUGCAGGCCAUAAAUCUUUCAUUGGAGGUAGCUUUAUGUGGGAAAUGGAAAAUUUGUGCAGAAGGUAGGCUAAUCCUUGGUAUCUGCAGGUGACUCCAAUGUAAAAACAGAAGUCAAUGUGAAGUAUCCUAUGACAUUCCUGGAUUUUGUUAUUGACAUGACUUGAGUUGGCGGUCAUCACUUGAAGUGCUAAAAGAGGAAGAUUAGUGUGCCAAUGAAGAAUUCUAGAAUUUCAGAAAUUAAGAGGGUUUUUGUUCUUCUUUAAGGGCUCAUCAGUAGGUUCGAUCUUGAUAUUGGCGGGGCCUGGCACUAAUAGUGCUUAUUAGUUAGUGGAUAAUGAGAACUUUAAUAGUCACAUAAGUUAUGACUGGCCGCCAGAUGGUCUGGCUCAUGAAUGAGUAAGCUCACUCGUGUGAGUGAGUGAGACACUUUUGUAUGAGUGAGUUGGACAUCUUAAAACGUUGAGAAGGGACAUGAAGUUUACCAUGGGCUGAGCAAAGUGGAAGGAAUCCCUAGCACUAGGGAAAUGGAAGGGGCCUUCUCCAUGUCUUUUCAGCAUUUUCUGGCUAUUUGUUGUGCUUUGGGUGAUACUUGAUAAGAUCGGUUCUUGUUGAUAUUUACUUAUUAGAGCCUUUCAUGAGUAUGCCUUUUUUCUUUUUUUAGUACCCUAAAUCACUUACAGGUAUCUCCUGAGCCACUUGGAAGAGAUGUGCUUGGCCUUUCUUAAUAAAUAAAAAAAAGAAAGCACAUUAUUAAUGCAAUGAUGCAUUAUUUUUGUGAGAUGCUUUUCGACUUGGCAGGCAUAAGCUAGUGGGAUAUUUUUAAGAAUGCCUUUAGACUACUUUUUAGAGAACGAGAACGAAUUAAAUUUUGUGAAGUUUCUUUGGCUGGAGAGAAGUGCACUUCGUUGAGGUUUCUUUGUCAGCAUGUACAUUGGCUAAUAUUUUGUUGUGGCUUUAGCUUCACCCUUUCUAUGUGCUCUACAGAAAUUGUUGCUUCAGUUAGCGCUCUAUUUGCAAGUGCUGCAUCUUCUUUUCAUGUUUGGGCUGACUGUCUGUUUUUCGUUGACUUUACUGUGUCUGGGCUGUCCAACUGGAUAACGAACUGGUAUUAUUAUCUAACCUUGUGCUGAUUUCCACGAAUACUAGCUUGAAUCCAUGGCAUGUUAUACUUGAAUUCCAGGUCUGUUCAACAUAGUAUAGGGUGUCAUGCCAUGCAAGCUUUGGUGCCUUGACUGUCUUUUCAUAACCAAAGCGGCUAUUUUGUUUUUCUCUUAGUAUUUGUUUGGUUCGUGGGAAGCAUUUUUCCUCAGACUUGAAUGUUUAUUUUGGGAAGCUGAUGCUUGGAUAUAUGAUUCCUGAAAAAGUAGUUUUUGCAUAUUGGGUCGAUCAUGAAAAAGUAAUACAUCUUAGAGUAGUUUAUAUUUGAUUGAACAUCUACUUUCCUAGAAAAAUUGUGUAAAAUGCUUGUUAUACCUUUAAUAAAUAGAAAAGACCUUACCCCAUUCUAUCCAAAAGCCUAAGGGUAUUUUUGAAAAAAAAUAUCUCAAUUUUUAGCUGGUGGGGAUUAGAUUUUUUCAUGUCUGUCAUAGAUUUUUCUUUUCCAUGAAGUGUAGGAAUUUGAUUCCCAUGGGAAAGCUAUUGUCCCUCUUUUUCUUUUGAAAUUUCCAACCAAACAUGCGGCAUCUCUUCAUUUUUCUAUCGAUCCCACUUCCUCCCUCCUUUUCCCGCGAACCAAAUGUCUCUAUAAAUAAAAAUAUGCAUUGCAGUAAAAGUUUUCACUGUAGUUGAUAAAGUAAAAAAUAAAAAAAGGUUCAAAUUUUCCUGCAUGUUUCUCUCUGCAUGAAGAAUGAAUUUUGGCGCAUGCUAUUUAGGACAACUCACAUCCUCAAAGGUUUGCGAUUGCACCAUCUUUUGAACAUUAAUGCUGGGAAUUGUCUGUUCUAGUUUCUUUGGCUGGAGAGCAGUGCAAUUGGUUGAGGUUUCUUUGCCAGCAUGUACAUUGACUAAUAUUUUGUGGUGUCAGGUGGUUGGCUGUAGCAUCACUCGUUUCUAUCUGUUCUUCAGGAAUUGUUGCUUCAGUUAGCACACUAUUGGCGAAUGCUGCAUCUUCUUUCCAUGUGUUGGCUGAUUUGUCUGUUUUUCUUCUGAUUUUACUGUUUCUAGGCUCUCCAACUGGCUAAUGAACUGGCAUUAUGAUCUUCACCUUGUGCGUUGAUUUUCGUGAAUACUAGCUUAAAUCCAUGGCAUGUUAUGCUUGAAUUCCAGGUUUGUGGAACCUAGUAUGGGGCGUCACGCCAUGCAAGCUUUGGUGCUUUGACUCUCUUUGUAACCAAAGCAGCCAUUUUGUAUUUCGCUUAAAUAAAAAUAUGUUGCAGUAAAAGUUUUCACUAUAGUUGGAGAAUGAAUGUCGCAGUAAAAGGUGCAAUUUUUUCUGCAUGUUUCUGUCUGCAUAAAGAAUGAAUGUUGGGCACGCAAGUUACCACAACACUCAUGUCCUUAAAUGUUUGUGGUUACGACCAUGUUUUGUACAUUGAUGUUGGGAAUUGUCUGUUCUGAUGUGUGUCAUUGGCCAUCUGCAGGAGGAAGAAGAUGAGGAUGAGGAUUGAGAACAGGGACUUCAUGACUGGAUUACAGAGAGCCUGGAUACGGUAUGAGUGUGCCU
rnacentral:lncRNA from 1 species